rnacentral:rRNA from 1 species
AAUCAACGCUGGCGGCGUGCCUAACACAUGCAAGUCGCACGAGAAAGGGACUUCGGUCCUGAGUACAGUGGCGCACGGGUGAGUAACACGUGAAUAAUCUACCUUCGAGUGGGGAAUAACUGAGAGAAAUCUUAGCUAAUACCGCAUAAUACCCACGGGUCAAAGCAGCAAUGCGCUUGAAGAGGAGUUCGCGGCAGAUUAGUUAGUUGGCAGGGUAAUGGCCUACCAAGACGAUGAUCUGUAUCCGGCCUGAGAGGGCGCACGGACACACUGGAACUGAAACACGGUCCAGACUCCUACGGGAGGCAGCAGUGGGGAAUUUUGCGCAAUGGGGGAAACCCGUGACGCAGCAACGCCGCGUGGAGGAUGAAAUCCCUUGGGAUGUAAACUCCUUUCGAUCGGAAGAUAAUGACGGUACCGAGAGAAGAAGCCCCGGCUAACUUCGUGCCAGCCGCCGCUGUAAC